UAGGGAAUCUUCGGCAAUGGACGGAAGUCUGACCGAGCAACGCCGCGUGAGUGAAGAAGGUUUUCGGAUCGUAAAGCUCUGUUGUAAGAGAAGAACGAGUGUGAGAGUGGAAAGUUCACACUGUGACGGUAUCUUACCAGAAAGGGACGGCUAACUACGUGCCAGCAGCCGCGGUAAUACGUAGGUCCCGAGCGUUGUCCGGAUUUAUUGGGCGUAAAGCGAGCGCAGGCGGUUAGAUAAGUCUGAAGUUAAAGGCUGUGGCUUAACCAUAGUACGCUUUGGAAACUGUUUAACUUGAGUGCAAGAGGGGAGAGUGGAAUUCCAUGUGUAGCGGUGAAAUGCGUAGAUAUAUGGAGGAACACCGGUGGCGAAAGCGGCUCUCUGGCUUGUAACUGACGCUGAGGCUCGAAAGCGUGGGGAGCAAACAGGAUUAGAUACCCUGGUAGUCCACGCUGUAAACGAUGAGUGCUAGGUGUUAGACCCUUUCCGGGGUUUAGUGCCGUAGCUAACGCAUUAAGCACUCCGCCUGGGGAGUACGACCGCAAGGUU
rnacentral:rRNA from 1 species